CGUAUCACUUAAAGCGAUUCAGCGGGUUACGAUUGACGGAGCGAAGCGACGUCAAAGCGUAUACAAAGUCGAGUCGGUUUAAGGAUACGUUCGUUGGGUAGGGGAGCGUUCUGUAAGCCUGUGAAGGUGGCCUGUGAGGGUUGCUGGAGGUAUCAGAAGUGCGAAUGCUGACAUAAGUAACGAUAAAGCGGGUGAAAAGCCCGCUCGCCGGAAGACCAAGGGUUCCUGUCCAACGUUAAUCGGGGCAGGGUGAGUCGACCCCUAAGGCGAGGCCGAAAGGCGUAGUCGAUGGGAAACGGGUUAAUAUUCCCGUACUUGGUGUUACUGCGAAGGGGGGACGGAGAAGGCUAUGUUGGCCGGGCGACGGUUGUCCCGGUUUAAGCGUGUAGGUGUGUGUUCCAGGUAAAUCCGGUUCACUUUAACACUGAGGCGUGACGACGAGGCACUACGGUGCUGAAGCAACAAAUGCCCUGCUUCCAGGAAAAGCCUCUAAGCAUCAGGUAACAUCAAAUCGUACCCCAAACCGACACAGGUGGUCAGGUAGAGAAUACCAAGGCGCUUGAGAGAACUCGGGUGAAGGAACUAGGCAAAAUGGUGCCGUAACUUCGGGAGAAGGCACGCUGACACGUAGGUGAAGUGAUUUACUCAUGGAGCUGAAGUCAGUCGAAGAUACCAGCUGGCUGCAACUGUUUAUUAAAAACACAGCACUGUGCAAACACGAAAGUGGACGUAUACGGUGUGACGCCUGCCCGGUGCCGGAAGGUUAAUUGAUGGGGUCAGCGCAAGCGAAGCUCCUGAUCGAAGCCCCGGUAAACGGCGGCCGUAACUAUAACGGUCCUAAGGUAGCGAAAUUCCUUGUCGGGUAAGUUCCGACCUGCACGAAUGGCGUAAUGAUGGCCAGGCUGUCUCCACCCGAGACUCAGUGAAAUUGAACUCGCUGUGAAGAUGCAGUGUACCCGCGGCAAGACGGAAAGACCCCGUGAACCUUUACUAUAGCUUGACACUGAACAUUGAGCCUUGAUGUGUAGGAUAGGUGGGAGGCUUUGAAGUGUGGACGCCAGUCUGCAUGGAGCCGACCUUGAAAUACCACCCUUUAAUGUUUGAUGUUCUAACGUGGACCCGUAAUCCGGGUUGCGGACAGUGUCUGGUGGGUAGUUUGACUGGGGCGGUCUCCUCCUAAAGAGUAACGGAGGAGCACGAAGGUUGGCUAAUCCUGGUCGGACAUCAGGAGGUUAGUGCAAUGGCAUAAGCCAGCUUGACUGCGAGCGUGACGGCGCGAGCAGGUGCGAAAGCAGGUCAUAGUGAUCCGGUGGUUCUGAAUGGAAGGGCCAUCGCUCAACGGAUAAAAGGUACUCCGGGGAUAACAGGCUGAUACCGCCCAAGAGUUCAUAUCGACGGCGGUGUUUGGCACCUCGAUGUCGGCUCAUCACAUCCUGGGGCUGAAGUAGGUCCCAAGGGUAUGGCUGUUCGCCAUUUAAAGUGGUACGCGAGCUGGGUUUAGAACGUCGUGAGACAGUUCGGUCCCUAUCUGCCGUGGGCGCUGGAGAACUGAGGGGGGCUGCUCCUAGUACGAGAGGACCGGAGUGGACGCAUCACUGGUGUUCGGGUUGUCAUGCCAAUGGCACUGCCCGGUAGCUAAAUGCGGAAGAGAUAAGUGCUGAAAGCAUCUAAGCACGAAACUUGCCCCGAGAUGAGUUCUCCCUGAGACUUAGAGUCUCCUGAAGGAACGUUGAAGACGACGACG
rnacentral:rRNA from 1 species